rnacentral:rRNA from 1 species
AGCGAACGCUAGCGGCGGGCCUAACACAUGCAAGUCGAGCGGAGAACUUCGGUUCUUAGCGGCGGGCGGGUGAGUAACGCGUAGGUAAUGUGCCUUCUGGUGGGGAACAACCGUGCGAAAGCAUGGCUAAUACCGCAUAUGUCGAGAGAUGAAAGCCUUCGGGCGCCAGUAGAGCAGCCUGCGUCCCAUUAUUUAGUCCUAGUUGGUGAGGUAACGGCUCACCAAGGGUACGAUGGGUAGCUGGUCUGAGAGGAUGAUCAGCCACACUGGAACUGAGACACGGUCCAGACUCCUACGGGAGGCAGCAGUGGGGAAUAUUGCGCAAUGGGGGCAACCCUGACGCAGCCAUGCCGCGUGUGUGAAGAAGG